AUUGAACGCUGGCGGCGUGCCUAACACAUGCAAGUCGAACGAAGCAAUCUUAAUGAAGCUUUCGGAUGGAUUUAAGAUUGACUGAGUGGCGGACGGGUGAGUAACGCGUGGGUAACCUGCCUCAUACAGGGGGAUAACAGUUAGAAAUGACUGCUAAUACCGCAUAAGCGCACAGUACCGCAUGGUACAGUGUGAAAAACUCCGGUGGUAUGAGAUGGACCUGCGUCUGAUUAGCUAGUUGGUGAGGUAACGGCCCACCAAGGCGACGAUCAGUAGCCGACCUGAGAGGGUGACCGGCCACAUUGAGACUGAGACACGGCCCAA
rnacentral:rRNA from 1 species